rnacentral:rRNA from 1 species
UACGAAGGGUCCAAGCGUUAUCCGGAUUUAUUGGGUUUAAAGGGUGCGUAGGCGGCUUAUUAAGUCAGUGGUGAAAGCCCGUAGCUUAACUACGGAACUGCCAUUGAUACUGAUGAGCUUGAAUAUACUUGAGGUUGGCGGAAUGUGUCAUGUGGCGGUGAAAUGCUUAGAUAUGACACAGAACACCGAUUGCGAAGGCAGCUAGCUAAAGUACAAUUGACGCUGAUGCACGAAAGCGUGGGGAGCAAACAGG